GAUGAACGCUGGCGGCGUGCCUAAUACAUGCAAGUCGAGCGAACGGACGAGAAGCUUUCUUCUCUGAUGUUAGCGGCGGACGGGUGAGUAACACGUGGAUAACCUACCUAUAAUACUGGGAUAACUUCGGGAAACCGGAUCUAAUACCGGAUAAUAUUUUGAACCGCAUGGUUCAAAAGUGAAAGACGGUCUUGCUGUCACUUAUAGAUGGAUCCGCGCUGCAUUAGCUAGUUGGUAAGGUAACGGCUUACCAAGGCAACGAUGCAUAGCCGACCUGAGAGGGUGAUCGGCCACACUGGAACUGAGACACGGUCCAGACUCCUACGGGAGGCAGCAGUAGGGAAUCUUCCGCAAUGGGCGCAAGCCUGACGGAGCAACGCCGCGUGAGUGAUGAAGGUCUUCGGAUCGUAAAACUCUGUUAUUAGGGAAGAACAUAUGUGUAAGUAACUGUGCACAUCUUGACGGUACCUAAUCAGAAAGCCACGGCUAACUACGUG
rnacentral:rRNA from 1 species